GACAGAGGGGGCAAGCGUUGCUCGGAAUUACUGGGCGUAAAGCGCGCGUAGGCGGCCUGUUAAGUCGAACGUGAAAUCCCCAGGCUCAACCUGGGAACUGCGUCCGAUACUGGCAGGCUUGAAUCCGGGAGAGGGAUGCGGAAUUCCAGGUGUAGCGGUGAAAUGCGUAGAUAUCUGGAGGAACACCGGUGGCGAAGGCGGCAUCCUGGACCGGUAUUGACGCUGAGGCGCGAAAGCCAGGGGAGCAAACGGG
rnacentral:rRNA from 1 species